ensembl:lncRNA
CGCACUCAUGGCCGAUCAGUGUGUUCUUUCUGAUUAGCUCUUAAUUGAGAUCACCUGUCACGCACCCCUUUAUUAAAGGUGAACACAAUGGGUUUGGUUUACUUUUCGCAUCGGCCUGUGUCAAUCGAGGUUGAGUUUAGUGAGGGUUGACGGUUUUCGAUCUAGAUUGCAGAUCACUAUUGUCACUUUAUACAAACUGAAAGUAUGCGUUGUUGCGUGUUUGUUUUUGUGGGCAUUUGACUGAACAGCCCAGACAAAUAUUGCUACCAACGUGGCACUUCGAAACAGACCACCGCAGUGUUAGAUGACUGACAAGAUCUAUGGGGGGGCGCCCCCUUUGGGCCCCUCCAUACCAACUUAGUCUUCAAAGGAAUCUAGUGCCAUGGAACUCCAGUGUCUUCAAAACAUCCUCGGAAUGCAUGUGUAUGACUGGUCCACCGAAGGGUUGAUCUGGAUGCCACCACGGUCCACGCAGUAAUCUGCUGCGUGGGCCGUAGUGGCUUCCAGAGCCAUCUUUCGGUCUUGGUCAGGAUUUGUUACAGUUGCCCUUCAAUGUAGCAGGCUACGGGUUUCUGAAGAAGCCUGCUUUACGUAGCAUUGGAGUACAAAUAUUGUGCAAAAUGCUCAUGUAAUUGCACUAGCACUGGUAACCUGUAGAUUAGCUUAGUUUAACGUCAUUCGGUGCUGUCUGUCAAAUGUGUGGCUUACUUUAAGUCCACAAGGCCCUCUGGUAAACCACGUUGGAACACCCCUGGACAAGGUGAUUAGUCACUGGGUGUGUGCUAAAGUUUUGUUCCAUUUUUCACUAGUUGGUUAAGGUUUGGUAGAAUUGUUUGGAUGCUAGCGACGUUAUGGCGUAUGUACAAGAGCCUACCGUGGCCAGGCCACAGUUGCGACGGCCACGGCCAGAAGGCCUAGUGUGAGUGCAACCUUGAUUGCAUUUGUAUAUUGUUUACCAUUGGAUGUUUAUGCAAUUUGGCUUAAUUCAUCCGCUGUAAAGCUGCAUUUGACUAUUCCAGGGUCGUUUUGUACAGGCUUUCAAUUGACCAUGUUGACUAGUUUGUGGGAAUUUUUUUUUUUUUUACCCUUGCUUACAAUCCAACGGUUGCGACCACUUAUGCAACUGGGCUGUGAACCUUGCAAUUCUAGUUGCAUAUUUGUACACGCAAGCUUGUCCAUUUCUAUCGCCAUCACUAACACUAGCUUCAGCAUUUCCUUGUAGGCCAUUAGCUGACUUGUGUAUUGGAGCGAUGAUUUGGGUAUUUUAAGAUGCUUGAAAACCUAAAAUUAAGCAAAAUGCGUGUCUGGUGUGCAAGAGCCAAUUUGUUGGCUUGCAGUAGUCGAGGAGUUGCCGUAGGUCGUAAGCCAUCUGGAGGUUGUGGCAAUGGAGGCUUGUGGUAGAUCUGCCAUCCAAGAAAGUUUAAUUCUUCUGAAGCAUGAUUAAUAGUUUAGUAAAUUGAAUCUAUUCAUAUAGAACUAUAAAAUCCAAGACUGCAGCCAGUAACUUGGAUCUCAAUAUGUGGAAAGUAUUAGUCUUUAUUUGUAACAACAGAAUAAUUAACAUGACUAACUGGGUUUCUUCCAUUUUCUAACUAGGGGGACUUGACUGGUGAGUCUACUGGAUUAAUCAGUAGCGGUACUUUGCCCAACAGAUUUGAUGGCAUGACUACAGGGUGACAAAGACAAUUAUUCCCUGCCUAUCAAAAGAGACUUCUAAAACAUAUCUGCUAGAACAGUUCCUAUACUUUUUGUGUAAUUUGGUCAUGCUGCAAAUUUACUUUUUGUAGUUGCUCCAUAUUUAGUUCUUUGACAGCCUCACCUGCUAGAAAAGUCUAUUCAAAUCGGCUAAAUAUAAUGAACUAAAUUAAUAGCCAUGAAAUGUUGUCACUCAUACUAAUGGCAAAUACUCCCUUUCAGUUGGUGGUUCAACACUGAUGUCUCUCUAGGCUUGAGGGAGAGCUCACAAGUAAAUUAAACGAAUGUCCUGGAGCAAUUGGGAAUACACUUUUAUUUAGUCCACAUGACCAGGGACAUCUUUGAACUAUAGGUCACCUAACCCAAACUUUUCACUCUUGUUAGGUUGUCCUUUUCUCUUGUUUUAACCCGAAAGGGCUGAAAAUAUCAACAUUUCAGGUAUUCUGUUUGGAUAAUGUGCAAAACUUGUGGCUUCACUAAUAAAAAAAAUUAACGAAUGUAUUUUUCUUAAUGUGGUUAAACUAUUUAAAUAUUUGUAUGCAAAAUAUUUCUGCUCAAUUUGUGGUCAAUGAAACUUCAAAUUUUUUAAUUUGAUAAAACACAACUAUGGGUUAAAGGUAUUUGCUUUGGGCAUCUUUCGAUAUUUUUAGAAUCUAGCUCCAUUGCCGUUAGAAAUGGUGUCUCCCAGUACUGCAAAUACUGCAAAGUGCUUCCACAAGUUUAAAAAAGCAUGGGCAGAAAAGGAACUGCCAACUAAAUCUAUUUAAGAUGGGUAGAACGUUUCCAUGGAAGCUCUUGGCUGCUGGUUUCCCAACACAGCUCCACUGUUAGCCUGUGACCUUGCGUUUAACUUUUUUGGACUUUUGGUGACUUUCACAAAAGAGAAAUGAACUGGUUAAUACAAUAAACAAGACAUUUGAAACUUCAGCUACAUUUUUAUCUUAUUUGUACUGCCUUUUGAUUUCGACCCGUGACAUGUUUGUCAGGUGAUGACUAUGUACCUGUGACCGCAUAUCAUGGUACCAUUUUGAACUGUUUGUGGAUAUUGCAUUAAAUCCAUAUGCUUGAAACUUUUCAAUAAUGCAUAUCAACGAAACAAUGGAAUGAAAUAAAUAGUUAAAGC